rnacentral:miRNA from 1 species
UGAGUUGUCUGAGGCUUGAAC